GGAACUGUACUGUCUUUUUUCUCUCUCUCUCCCUCUCUCUCUAUCUCUUUCUCAUCAAGACUGGGAUUGUUUUUUCUCGCCAAAUGUCUGCAUGCCUAUCAUGUCCCGGCAUCUUUUGACCAAAUUGACCUUGAAUGGCAUUUCAAGGUCGUUGCCAUGGUGUUUUGACGCUUCUGGAGGACAUCGUCUCACAAAUUAGGAAGGUAAUUGAACAAAAAGCAAUUAAAUAACAUUAUGACCCAUAAUGUUUGAUUUAAAUCUGAAUACCGAUCAUUCUUUUGAAGAGGCUGCCUACAGAGAGCACAUGAUGUGGGCUUUCUGUAGACAUCCUUAAACAAUGCUAAUCAUUAAUGACCUGUAUCUGAACUAUCUCAUGAUUAGUCGCUUUUGGCUGAAGUUAUCACAUAAAUGGGGAAAGUAAUUAAAUAAGACUUUUAAACAUGCUCAUGAAUCAAAGUUUGUCAAAAUUUUCGAUUUAGGGAUGAAUCUUUGCAAAUAAGUUACGGAGACAUUUUAUUUGUACGAGUGCUCUGGUUUCAGCCUUUCUUGGAGUACUCCUCAUCAUGUAGAAAUCGUGUAUCAUUUUUCACCUCUGUGACAUGAAUGGGACACACCUUCUCCCUCGUCUCUCAUCCUGUUUGACUUAAAAGCAGGUGAUUUGAUUUUGGGCCACACGUUUCUGGUGUUCACCAUAGCUCAGAGUUAGUACAAACAGCUCCCAGAAACCACACUGAUUCAUAACGCAGCUCUCAUCGGAGGCUUUAGCAGAAAACAUCAGUUUAUUGAACAUUCUCGAUCUGCAAAAGAACAGACUCUUGCAGAAGGAUGUUGUGACCCAGAUGCCCAUGUGCUCCGGUAAGGCUGCUUGUCUGUCUGUUCUCAAAAACACGCACGUACAAACACACACACCAUCUGCCUCAUCCCCCUCCCCAUCAAAGCUGCCAUGGUUGAUGGGGCUGUGUGUCCUUGUUUGUGCAGAUAGCUUCUCUUUGGAUAACAGAAUGCAGUGAUUGACUACACCAUGCAGUGACUGACUUGCAUGUCGCAAGGUCCUUUGGGUAUUUGAGAGAGCGUGUGUGUGUGUGUGUGUGGAUCCUUUCAACCUCAGUCCUUUCAUCUCUCUCUUCAUUGACUUUAAGACUCUGUUCUGUCUCUUUGUGGCAUAAUGGGAAGGGAUUACAAGCACACAUCUUCAAAGGAACACAAAGGGGGAGAGCGCCGUUGUAAUGUAUGCAUAAGCAUGUGCUGUUUCAGUGCACGGUUGCUUGGCGGGAGGAUUCGUGUAGCCUUGCGCUUACGCGUGGGUGUGUUGUUGUUGUUUUUGUUUUUUCUUAAUAGUGCAGCGUGGGUGGAGGAAGCGUGCACGUGCUCUCGGAGAUACACGCGCACAGGCCUGGUGGUGAG
ensembl:lncRNA